AGUCGAGUGCGCGUGCCGUAGCAAUACGGUAUGGCGCACGGCGCACGGGUGCGUAACACGUGGGCAAUCUGCCCUCCGAUGGGGAAUAACUCCGGGAAACCGAAGCUAAUUCCGCAUAACAUUCCUUGGACUCCGGUUCGGGGAUUCAAAGCAGCAAUGCGUCGGAGGAGGAGCCCGCGCCCGAUUAGCUAGUUGGUGAGGUAACGGCUCACCAAGGCUAUGAUCGGUAGCUGGUCUGAGAGGAUGGCCAGCCACACUGGAACUGAGACACGGUCCAGACUCCUACGGGAGGCAGCAGUGGGGAAUCUUGCGCAAUGGGCGAAAGCCUGACGCAGCGACGCCGCGUGGGGGAUGAAGCUUCUCGGAGUGUAAACCCCUUUCGACCGGGACGAAUGCCCGCAAGGGAGUGACGGUACCGGUAGAAGAAGCCCCGGCUAACUACGUGCCAGCAGCCGCGGUAAGACGUAGGGGGCCAGCGUUGUUCGGAAUUACUGGGUGUAAAGGGUUCGUAGGCGGUGUGGCAAGUCGGGAGUGAAAUUUCUGGGCUUAACCCAGAACCUGCUUCCGAAACUGCUGUGCUGGAGUGUGGGAGAGGCGCGUGGAAUUGCAGGUGUAGCGGUGAAAUGCGUAGAUAUCUGCAGGAACACCCGUGGCGAAAGCGGCGCGCUGGACCACUACUGACGCUGAGGAACGAAAGCUAGGGGAGCAAACAGGAUUAGAUACCCUGGUAGUCCUAG
rnacentral:rRNA from 1 species